rnacentral:rRNA from 1 species
GACGAACGCUGGCGGCGUGCCUAAUACAUGCAAGUUGAGCGCUGAAAGGUGGUACUUGUUCCUACUGGAUGAGCAGCGAACGGGUGAGUAACACGUGGGGAAUCUACCUUUGAGCCGGGGAUAACAUCUGGAAACGAAUGCUAAUACCGCAUAAAAACUUUAAACACAAGUUUUAAGAUUGAAAGAUGCAAUUGCAUCACCCAAAGAUUAUCCCCCGUUGUAUUAGCUAGUUGGUGAGGUAAAGGCCUACCCAGGCGAAGAUACAGAACCGGCCUGAGAGGGGGAUCGGCCAAAAUGGGACUGAGACACGGCCCAAGCUCCUACGGGAGGCAGCAGUAGGGAAUCUUCGGCAAUUGACGAAAGUCUGACCGGGCAACGGCGCGUGAGUGAAGGAAGUUUUCGGAUCGUAAAACUCUGUUGGUAGAGAAGAACGUUGGGGAGAGUGGACUGCUCAUCAAGUGACGGUACCUACCCAGAAAGGGACGGCUAACUACGUG